CCUACGGGUGGCAGCAGUGAGGAAUAUUGGUCAAUGGGCGUAAGCCUGAACCAGCCAAGUCGCGUGAGGGAUGAAGGUUCUAUGUAUCGUAAACCUCUUUUAUAAGGGAAUAAAGUGUGGGACGUGUCCUAUUUUGUAUGUACCUUAUGAAUAAGGAUCGGCUAACUACGUGCCAGCAGCAGCGGUAAUACGGAGGAUCCGAGCGUUAUCCGGAUUUAUUGGGUUUAAAGGGUGCGUAGGCGGCCGUUUAAGUCUGCGGUGAAAGUCUGUGGCUCAACCAUAGAACUGCCGUUGAUACUGGGGGGAUAGAGUGCGUUAGAGGCAGGCGGAAUGCGUGGUGUAGCGGUGAAAUGCUUAGAUAUCACGCAGAACCCCGAUUGCGAAGGCAGCAUACCGGCGCCCAACUGACGUUGAGGCACGAAAGCGUGGGUAUCGAACAGGAUUAGAUACCCGAGUAGUC
rnacentral:rRNA from 1 species